AGCAGCCGCGGUAAUUCCAGCUCCAAUAGCGUAUAUUAAAGUUGUUGCAGUUAAAAAGCUCGUAGUUGAACUUCGGGGUUUACCCAUUGGUCAGGCUUAAUUGUCUGCACUGGGGAGAUGAAUCUCUACCUUCUGAGGAACUUUCAUGCCAUUUAUUUGGUGUGAUUGGAAAUCAGGACUGUUACUUUGAAAAAAUUAGAGUGUUUAAAGCAGGCUAACGUCUGAAUACAUUAGCAUGGAAUAAUGAAAUAGGACGGACUGAUUCUAUUUCGUUGGUUUCUAGGAUCACCGUAAUGAUUAAUAGGGAUAGUUGGGGGCAUUAGUAUUCAAUUGUCAGAGGUGAAAUUCUUGGAUUUAUUGAAGACUAACUACUGCGAAAGCAUUUGCCAAGGAUGUUUUCAUUAAUCAAGAACGAAAGUUAGGGGAUCGAAGACGAUCAGAUACCGUCGUAGUCUUAACCAUAAACUAUGCCGACUAGGGAUCGGACGAAGUUAAUUUUAUAAUGACGCGUUUGGCGCCU
rnacentral:rRNA from 1 species